rnacentral:miRNA from 1 species
UGGAUAUGAAGACUGAAA